rnacentral:rRNA from 1 species
UGGGGAAUAUUGCACAAUGGAGGGAACUCUGAUGCAGCGACGCCGCGUGAACGAAGAAGGCUUUCGAGUCGUAAAGUUCUUUUAUAUGGGAAGAUAAUGACGGUACCAUAAGAAAAAGCCCCGGCUAACUACGUGCCAGCAGCCGCGGUAAUACGUAGGGGGCUAGCGUUGUCCGGAAUCACUGGGCGUAAAGGGUUCGCAGGCGGAAAUGCAAGUCAGGUGUGAAAGGCAGUAGCUUAACUACUGUAAGCAUUUGAAACUGCAUAUCUUGGGAAGAGUAGAGGUAAGUGGAAUUUUUAGUGUAGCGGUGAAAUGCGUAGAUAUUAAAAAGAAUACCGGUGGCGAAGGCGACUUACUGGGCUCAUUCUGACGCUGAGGAACGAAAGCGUGGGUAGCAAACAGG